UACAGAAGCCCCAAGCAUUACCCGGAUUUACUGGGCGUAAAGGGUGCGUAGGCGGUUAUAUUAGUCGGAUGUUAAAUCCUGGGGCUCAACCUCAGGUUCGCAUUCGAAACGGUAUGACUAGAAGAAGUGAGAGGUGAACAGAACUCUCGGAGUAGGGGUGAAAUCCGUUGAUAUCGAGGGGAAUACCAAAUGCGAAGGCAGUUCACUGGCACUUUCUUGACGCUGAGGCACGAAAGCGUGGGUAGCGAAUCGG
rnacentral:rRNA from 1 species